AUUACCAGCUCGGAUGAAAAGACAAGGCAAGCCGAGGAAGUCUGAUUUAUCUGUAAUAGGAUUAUCUAAAAAAGGGAAUAAAAGCAAAAGGAAACAUUUUGAUAUUUAUAAUGAUAAAGUAAAGCAAUUGGUAUUAAAAGUAUACCUAAAUUUGCUGAGGACAUAGGAAAAGGAACACCAAUUAUAACCAAUUCUCAAAUGGAGUUUAUAAAUUUCAUAAUCAAUGAGAAAAUAAAUGCAGGUGAUACAAAACCCAAAAAUUUGGGCAAUCGUCAGAUAACUUAUAAAAAGUUAUCUAACCUUAUACAACUUUGUCUGAAGAAAACAAGGCAAGAUGGAUUAUAGAUAAAAUUUAUAAAGAGUCUGCAAAGAAUAAAAUUUAUAAUAAUGAAAUGGUUGAUUUUGAUGACAUUCUUACCAUAAAAAAUAGUAUGCAAUGUUUAAAAAAUGAUGAAGUCGAUUUUCAAAUGAUAAAAUCAUAUUUGACCAAUCAAGCUUGGAUACAGGUUCAAGAUUUACAAGUCAAGAUUAUGGCGGAGUCCUGGAUUUGUCAGAAAUGUUACUCAUUUUAGAUGAUGAUGCUUCAAUUAUUUGUGAUAUUUGUUUGUGCUGGUUCCACUUUAAAUGUCAAAAAAUUAAGAAAAAACCUUAUAAAAUUCAUUGGUUUUGUAAUAAUUGUUGUUAAAUAUAUUUACUAGUUUUGUUAUAAUUGUUUUAAAUGUAUUUAUAUUCGUCUUUUAUAUUAUAAAAUGAUUGUAAUUAUUUAUGUAUUA